GAUGAACGCUAGCGGCAGGCUUAACACAUGCAAGUCGAGGGGCAGCACAGGUAGCAAUACUGGGUGGCGACCGGCAAACGGGUGCGGAACACGUACACAAUCUGCCUUUAUCUGGGGAAUAGCCCGAAGAAAUUCGGAUUAAUACCCCAUAACAUAUUUGGAUGGCAUCAUUUGAAUAUUAAAACUCCGGUGGAUAAAUAUGAGUGUGCGUCCCAUUAGCUAGUUGGCAGGGUAACGGCCUACCAAGGCGACGAUGGGUAGCUGGUGUGAGAGCACGACCAGCCACACGGGCACUGAGACACGGGCCCGACUCCUACGGGAGGCAGCAGUGAGGAAUAUUGGUCAAUGGACGCAAGUCUGAACCAGCCAUGCCGCGUGAAGGAUGAAGGCCUUCUGGGUUGUAAACUUCUUUUAUUGGGGAAGAAAAUUACGGUUUCUACUGUAACCGACGGUACCCAAGGAAUCAGCACCGGCUAACUCCGUGCCAGCAGCCGCCGUAA
rnacentral:rRNA from 1 species